AGGCAAUAGAUACCCGGGUAGUCCUGGCAGUAAACGGUGCACGUUUGGUGUGGGGGGAUUCGACCCCUUCCGCGCCGGAGCUAAACGCGUUAAAAACGUGCCGCCUGGGAAGUACGGUCGCAAGAUUAAAACUCAAAGAAAUUGACGGGGACCCGCACAAGCGGUGGAGUAUGUGGCUUAAUUCGAUGCAACGCGAAGAACCUUACCUGGGUUUGACAUGCACUGUGUCCCCGAUGAAAGUCGGGUAGCAUAGCAAUAUGCGCUUUGCACAGGUGCUGCAUGGCUGUCGUCAGCUCGUGUCGUGAGAUGUUGGGUUAAGUCCCGCGACGAGCGCAACCCCCGUGAUUUGUUGCCACCUGGUUUUCCAGAGCACUCGAAUCAGACUGCCUCGAUCAACGAGGAGGAAGGUGGGGACGACGUCAAGUCCGUAUGGCCCUUACACCCAGGGCUGCACACGUACUACAAUGCUCAGUACAAUGUGAACCGAUACCGCGAGGUGGAGGAAAUCCAU
rnacentral:rRNA from 1 species